rnacentral:rRNA from 1 species
AUACUGUGAGCUCGAUGAGUAGGGCGGGACACGUGGUAUCCUGUCUGAAUAUGGGGGGACCAUCCUCCAAGGCUAAAUACUCCUGACUGACCGAUAGUGAACCAGUACCGUGAGGGAAAGGCGAAAAGAACCCCGGCGAGGGGAGUGAAAAAGAACCUGAAACCGUGUACGUACAAGCAGUGGGAGCACAGAGCAAUCUGUGUGACUGCGUACCUUUUGUAUAAUGGGUCAGCGACUUAUAUUCUGUAGCAAGGUUAACCGAAUAGGGGAGCCGAAGGGAAACCGAGUCUUAACUGGGCGUUAAGUUGCAGGGUAUAGACCCGAAACCCGGUGAUCUAGCCAUGGGCAGGUUGAAGGUUGGGUAACACUAACUGGAGGACCGAACCGACUAAUGUUGAAAAAUUAGCGGAUGACUUGUGGCUGGGGGUGAAAGGCCAAUCAAACCGGGAGAUAGCUGGUUCUCCCCGAAAGCUAUUUAGGUAGCGCCUCGUGAAUUCAUCUCCGGGGGUAGAGCACUGUUUCGGCAAGGGGGUCAUCCCGACUUACCAACCCGAUGCAAACUGCGAAUACCGGAGAAUGUUAUCACGGGAGACACACGGCGGGUGCUAACGUCCGUCGUGAAGAGGGAAACAACCCAGACCGCCAGCUAAGGUCCCAAAGUCAUGGUUAAGUGGGAAACGAUGUGGGAAGGCCCAGACAGCCAGGAUGUUGGCUUAGAAGCAGCCAUCAUUUAAAGAAAGCGUAAUAGCUCACUGGUCGAGUCGGCCUGCGCGGAAGAUGUAACGGGGCUAAACCAUGCACCGAAGCUGCGGCAGCGACACUGUGUGUUGUUGGGUAGGGGAGCGU